AACGAACGCUGGCGGCGUGGAUAAGACAUGCAAGUCGAGCGCUCAUUCGUUUGCAGCAAUGUACACGAGUGGGAGCGGCGCAAGGGUGCGUAACGCGUGGGUAAUUUGCCGUGAAGUUGGGAAUAACUCCGAGAAAUCGGAGCUAAUGCCGAAUGUGGUUGCCUGGGGGCAUCUCCGGGUUACUAAAGUUGGGGACCGAAAGGCCUGACGCUUCACGAUAAGCCCGCGCCCUAUCAGCUAGUUGGUGAGGUAACGGCCCACCAAGGCUAAGACGGGUAGCUGGUCUGAGAGGACGACCAGCCACACUGGAACUGAGACACGGUCCAGACACCUACGGGUGGCAG
rnacentral:rRNA from 1 species